AGAGACGCGCGCCUGCGCUGCGGACAGAGCGGUGCUUCUCGUCUGGGCCCCGGUUCCUGGACGACCUGGGACUUCUAGGCAGCGACUCCCAGACAGAAUUGGAGGAGAAAAGAUGCGUGUGGCCCUGGGGCCUGAGUUCUCGGCCAGGCUUCCUGCGAUAUCAGUCUGUUUCUUUUUUCUUUUUCUUUUUGAGACGGAGUCUUGUUCUGUCGCCCACGCUGGAGUGCAAUGGCGCGAUCUCGGCUCACUGCUCCCGGGUUCAAGCGAUUCUCCUGCGUCAGCCUCCCGAGUAGCUGAGACUACAGGCGUGAGCCACCGCGCCCGGCUGUUUUUUGUAUUUUUAGUAGAGACGGGGGUUUCACCAUGUCGGCCAGGAUGGUCUCAAUCUCCUGACCUCAGGUGAUCCGCCCGCCUCGGCCUCCCAAAGUGCUGGGAUUACAGGCGAGAAACAUCGCGCCCGGCCACGUCGGUCCGUUUCUGCUCGUUCCUCUAGCUUCUCCACAGACCAGCUGACGUUCUCAUUUUCAUUGAUUCACCUAGGACAUUGUUGUUGACACUCCACUUGCACUGCGGGUGCAAAGGUUAUCAUGGCUGGGCCCUGCACUCCUCGAACUCACAGACCAGUGAGAGGAACCAGGAAACUGGAUGACAAAAGGAUGACAAAUGCUGACAAACGCUAUCAUGGGAAACGGACAUGAACACAGAGCAGAGCCCCCACAGCCAGUCUAUGGAGUAAUCCAGGAGGGCUUCCCAGAGGAGGCAGCAUGUGUUGACUGCUGAAUGACAAAUGGGGAAGGACAUUCUUUCUUUUUUUUUUUUUUUUUUUUUUGAGAUGGAGUCUCGCUCUGUCGCCCAGGCUGGAGUGCCUGGGCGUGAUCUCGGCUCACUGCAAGCUCCGCCUCCCGGGUUCACGCCAUUCUCCUGCCUCAGCCUCCCGAGUUGCUGGGACUGCAGGCACCCGCCACCACGCCCGGCUAACUUUUUGUAUUUUUAGUAGAGAUGGGGUUUCACCGUGUUAGCCAGGCUGGUCUCGAUCUCCUGACCUUGAGAUCCGCCCACCUCGGCCUCCCAAAGUGCUGGGAUUACAGGCGUGAGCCACCGCACUCGGCGGGGAAGGACAUUCAAAGCAAAGGGAGCAGAGUGUACCAAGCCACGUGAAGUACAGAGUUCUCUUCUCUUUUGAGGCUUUGGGGUCACCUGCCCAGAUAAUUCUAAACACUAAAUUGUAGCCAGGGGCAUCUCCUACUCUCACUGCCCUCAUGAUUGCCUCUGGACUGUGUUCCUACGAGUGUCGUGCUCGCUGGUGCUCUUUCGUCUGGCUGCCCCUAAUCGCACUGCAAACAACUCCCACUGAGUUUUCUAAAAUACAGAUCUGGCCGGGCGCCGUGGCUCAUGCCUGUAAUCCCAACACUUUGGGAGGCUGUGGCUGGCAGAUCACCUGAGGUCAGAAGUUCGAGACCGGGCUGACCAAUAUGGUGAAGCCCGGUCUCUACUAAAAAUACAAAAAUUAGCCAGGUGUGUUAGCGGGCGCCUGUAAUCCCAGCUACUCAGGAGGAUGAGGCAGGAGAAUCGCUUGAACCCAGGAGGCGGAGGUUGCAGUGAGCCGAAAUCAUGCCACUGCACUCCAGCCUGGGUGACAGAGGGAGAUCCUGUCUCAAAAAUAUAUAUAUAUGUAUACAAAUCUGAAUGUGUUGCUACCUUGUGUAAAACUUUUAACAGUCUUCAGGUGUUCAAACUCCCAGUUUAGCUCAGAGCAUAAAAUUGGGCCACAGUCUCUCUCUCUCUUUUUUUUUUUUUUAGAUGGAUUCCUGCUCUGUUGCCCAGGCUGGAGUGCAGUGGCGUGAUCUCGGCUCACUGCAAUCUCCGCCUCCCGGAUUCAAGCGAUUAUCCCUGCCUCAGCCUCCCGAGUAGCUGGGACUACAGGCACCCGCCACCACGCCCGGCUAAUGUUUGUAUUUUCAGUAGAGACGGGGUUUCACCAUAUUGGCCAGGCUCAUUUUUUUUUAAUUAAAAAUUUUUUCUGGCCAGGCAUAGUGGCUCAUGCUUGUAAUCCCAGCACUUUGGGAGGCCAGGAGGUCAGGAGUUCGAGACCAGCCUGGCCAACAUGGCAAAACCUCAUCUCUACUGAAAAUACAAAAAAUUAGCCGGAUGUGCUGGCAGGUGCCUGAAGUCCCAGCUACUCGGGAGGCUGAGACAGGAGAAUCACUUGAACCCGGGAGGCAGAGGUUGCAGUGAGGUGAGAUCGCGCCAUUGCACUCCAGCCUGGGCGACAGAGCGAGACUCCAUCUCAAAAAACAUUGUUUUUCUUUAUAGCCGAGCGUGGUGGCACAUCCAGCUAUAGUCCCAGCUACUCAGGAACCUGAGGCGGGUGGAUCACUUGAGCCCAGGAGUUCGAGGCUGUAUUGAGCUAUGAUCAUGCCACAGCACUUCAGCCCAGGUGACAGAGUGAGACCACCUCUCUAAAAUAAUAAUCAUCAUUUUUUUAAGAGAUGAGGUCAGCUGGUCGCUGUGGCUCACGCCAGUAAUCCCAGCAUUUUGGGAGGCUGAGGCAGGUGGAUCACGAGGUCAGGAGAUCGACACCAUCCUGGCUAACACGGUGAAACGCGGUCUCUACUAAAAAUACAAAAAAAAUUAGCUGGGCGUGGUGGCGGGCGCCUGUAGUCCCAGCUACUCAGGAGGCUGAGGCAGGAGAAUGGGUGAACCCAGGAGGCGGAGCUUGCAGUGAGCUGAGAUCGAGCCACUGCACUCCAGCCUGGGCGAUAGAGUGAGACUCCGUCUCAGAAAAAAAAAAAAAGAGAUGAGGUCUUCUUAUGGUGCCCAGGUUGGACUCUAAUUCCUGGGCUCCAGGGGUCCUCCUUCCUCAGCCUCCUCAGUAGCUGGGAUUAUAGAGGUACCACUGUGCUGGUCCACAGUCUCGUUUAACUGCUCCUAUGUGAAUGCUGGGUUUCUUUUUCCUGGAAUGUUCUUCUACCCACUUUGGAGUCUCAAAUUCAAAUGUCUUCCCUUUCUUUUUUUCUUUUUCUUUUUUUUUUUUUUUUUUUUUUUGUUUUUGAGUCGGAGUCUCGCUCUGUCGCCCAGGCUGGAGUGCAGUGGCGCGAUCCUGGCUCACUGCAAGCUCCGCCUCCCGGGUUCACGCCAUUCUCCUGCCUCAGCCUCCCGAGUAGCUGGGACUACAGGCGCCCGCCACCGCGCCUGGAUAAUUUUUUUUUUUUUUUUUUUAGUAGAGACAGGGUUUCACCGUGUUAGCCAGGAUGGUCUUGAUCUCCUGACUUUGUGAUCUGCCUGCCUUGGCCUCCCAAAGUGCUGGGAUGACAGGCGUGAGCCACCGCACCCGGCCCAAAUGUCUUCCCUUUCUUAACCAUCCCAUCACUCCCUCUCUUCAUCAACAGCAGUAUGUCCAAAUUAUUCCCAUGACAGCUCUUACCCAUUUUACUGUAAUUUUUCAUUUGCAGUUCUGUGUAUGUCCUCAAAGGCCAAGCAGCUAGUCUAUGAGGUGCUCCAGAAGCAUUCAGGACCGCUAACAUUGAUUCAGAGAUGACCAUCUGCCAGGCACAGUGCUGACUGCCUUUGUAUGGAUCAUCUCAUUUAAUCCUCUCAACAACCUUAUUUGACAAGUAUCCCCAUCUUACAAAAGAGAAAACUGAAGCUCAGAGAGUUUAAGUAAUGUGUCCAGAGAGACAUGGUCGCAGAGUGAGGAGCUAGGGUUCAAAUCCUGGAAGGAGAGACAGCUAUGGUCACUCUGCUCUACCCUCAAUUUUCUGAGAUAGGAAUUGGGAGGAAGGGUUGGCAGAAAUCUACAUUUUUAAAAAAGCAGUAAGCUGUGGAUUAUGGUCUAAGGAAUAACACAGUCCUGCUGGACUCACCUUACACACCCUUGGGCCUGCUCUGGGGAAGUGGGGGGUGGGGGACUGGGAGGCACAAGGGCACCUUUCCUGCUGCAGGUGACUCAUCGUGACCCUGGCUUAGUGACAGCCUGGCACCGUGAGCCAGCAGAAGCAGCCGUCCCAGUGUGAAUUCUGGCUGGUCUGUGAGCUCUGGACCUUACCCAGAGACUGCCUGUUCCAAAGCAGUCCCUCUGAGAUCCCUCCCUAGGGCAUACGGAAAUUACAAGAAAAAUAAUUUUUUUUUUUUGAGACGGAGUUUCAUUCCUGUUGCCCAGGCUGCCGUGCAAUGGCACGAUCUCAGCUCACCGCAACCUCCAUCUCCCGGGUUCAAGUGAUUCUCCUGCCCCAGCCUCCCGAGUAGCUGGAAUUACAGGCAUGUAUCACCAUGCCUGGAUAAUUUUUUGUAUUUUUAGUAGAGACAGGGUUUCUCCAUGUUGGUCAGGCUGAUCUCAAACUCCCGACCUCAGGUGAUCCGCCUCCCUCGGCCUCUCAAGGUGCUGGGAUUACAGGUGUGAGCCACCGCACCCGGCCAAAAAAGAAUUUUUUAAAGAAGAAUAGACCAUCCUGGCUAACAUGGUGAAACCCCGUCUCUACUAAAAACACAAAAAAUUAGCCAGGCGUGGUGGCGGGCGCGUGCAAUCCCAGCUACUUAAGAGGCUGAGGCAGGAGAAUUGCUGGAACCCGGGAGGCAGAGGUUGCAGUGAGCCGAGAUCGAGCCACUGCACUCCAGCCUGGGUGAGAAGAGUGAAACUCCAUCUCUAAAUAAAGAAAUAAAAGAGAACUCUGGGGCACCAUGUGAGGGGAACUCCAAGGAGAGUCUUGGGUAGAGACGGAGCGAGGAGCACAGGCAGGAUGCUGCGCCUUCCAGGAAAGGUCAGUAAGAUGUCCCCACUGGCAAUGUGAUUCUGGGACCAUCGAGAAUGGGUUAUUUGCUUUGCUGCGUGCAAACUCCUCUCAUCGCUGCAAUCUUUUAGGGAAGCUGCUCACACAAAGGCCUUCUUGCAGAAUCAAGGAGAAGGUACCCAUUUCCUCUGCCACUCUUCUCUGCCCCCAGCCUUCUUCCCUUUCCUCUCAGGAGACUCCACGUUCCUCGAGGGCUUUGCCUUGCUGUUCCCUCUGCCUUGACCACUCUUGCUCCAGAUCCUAGCCGUCACUUCCUCUCCUCGUUCAGGUCCCCGCUCUGAUGUCAUCUCCUCUGUGAGGCCUUGCCUGACUGCAAACUACACACCAACACUCCCUCUCCCCUUGUCUGCUUUGCUUAUUUUCCUAGCACUUAUCUCUUUCUAAUAUGUUAGGUAUUUUCCUUACGUAUUGUCUAUUCUUUGCUAGAGUGUAAGCUCCAUGAGAGCAGGGAUUUGGGUCUUUUUGUUGUUCCUGCUAUAUCCCAAGAGCCUCACUGAGAUCCUGGCACAUUGCAAGCAUUCCUUCAAUUCAUACUGGUUGAAUGGGCCGGGCGCGGUGGCUCAUGCCUGGAAUCCCAGCACUUUGGGAGGCCAAGGCAGGCGGAUCAUGAGGUCAGGAGUUCGAGACCAGCCUGUCCAAUAUGGUGAAACUCCGUCUCUACUAAAAAUACAAAAAUUAGCUGGGCGUGGUGGCACGCACCUGUAGUCACAGCUACUCAGGAGGCUGAGGCAGAAUUGCUUGAACCUAGGAGGCAGAGGUUGCAGUGAGCCGAGAUCGCGCCACUGCACUCCAGCCUGGGCGAUGCAGUGAGACUCGUCUCAAAACACACAAACAAACAAACAAAAACCUGUUGCCCAGGCUGGAGUACAGUGGUUCCAUCUCAGCUCACUGCCACCUCCACCUCCCGGGUUCAAGCAAUUCUCCUGCCUCAGGAGGCCAGGUUGGUCUCAAACUCCUGACCUCAAAUGAUCCACCCACCUCGGCCUCCCAAAGCGCCGGGUUGAAUGAAGGAAGGAUGAAUGGAGAACUGGCGGAAGCUCUUGUCUAGAGCCAGCAUUAGCUUUUCCCAUAAUUGGCAGAUAUUUCCUGGAGGUCACUGGACUUCCCUCAGGAUGUGAGCUGAGGGCACAAACCAGUCCUGGUUACCUCUCAAAAGGUCAGAGUAGGCUGGGCACGGUGGCUCACGCCUGUCAUCCCACCACUUUGGAGUGACCACUUUGAGAUCGUGCCAUUGCACUCCAGCCUGGGCGACAGACUCUGUCACAAAAAAACAAACAAACAAACAAAAAAAGGCGGACGUCUGGGUAAUGUCUGUGAUGUCAUUCUCGCGUGCAUUCUGGUUUGCUAGAGAAAGGAAUGUCGACACAGUUAUAAAGCAUGUAAUUGCACUUAAUACCUAUCUUAUCUAUCAGCUUCUUGGAGGCAUCGUUACUGCUGAUAAAGUGGACGAAUAAUUGUGGUUUCAUUUUUCCUCGGGAAAAUUAAUCAUGGAGAGAGGUGUCAAAAUGUAGGUGUGCGUACAGGAUCGUGUCAAGCCCAAAACACCACGUUGCGUGGUAUCUCCUUGUUUGAGAAUCUCUGCCCCAGGUUUCAAAUCUAAGCUCCUCAGGCAGCUGGCCUGACCCCGGGCCAAACCUGUUCUUGCCUCUAAGCUCCACAUGCACCGUUCCCUCCACCCACAGCGCGCCGCCCUCUUGGAAAAACUCACAGCCAUCUGCUGACGACGAGCUCCGUGGUUGCAGCUUGAAGCACUUUCUUUUUUUUUUUUGCUCUGUCGCCCAGGCUGGAGGGCAGUGGCAUAAUCUCGGCUCACUGUAACCUUCGCCUCCGGGGUUCAAGGGAUUCUCCUGCCUCAGCCUUCCGAGUAGCUGGGAUUACAGGCACACGCCACCCUGCCUGGCUAAUUUUUGUAUUUUUAGUAGAGAUGGGGUUUCACCGUGUUGGCCAGGCUGGUCUUGAACUCCUGACCUCAGGUGAUCCACCUGCCUCAGCCUCCCAAAGUGCUGGGACUACAGGCGUGAGCCACCGCGCCCGGCCCACUCAUUCUCUUUCUUGUGGAGGCGACACUGAUUUCAUUUUGGCGAGUCAUCUCCUCCCACUCUUGGUUCUGUGGUUUCCGGUGUGGGUUCCGGUGUGCCCCUGGUAGCUCUGUCUCCAGGGGCAGGCACUCGAUCCAGGCCUGACCAAUCAGAAUCUAUUCCUCUCCCUGGCUACAGUGAUUGGGUCAGGGUGGAUGCCUCAUUCAAGGUGCUGCACUGAGAAUCCGCUCUGAGACUUCCACAUUUUGGGAAAGAGGCACUUCCUCUUUCUGCCUCCAAUGCUGAACUGACAGAAUGAAAGCCUGGAGCUGUGGGUGGCUGUUGCUGCCACCCCACCUCCAGGUGAGAAUCUGCUUGGGAAAGAAGCCACUGUAGAGGAAGGUUCAGCCAGGCGAUGGUUCCAGACACAUUCCUGACAGUGUGUGAGCACCUGGAAGUAGCCUUACUCUGGGACUAAGGUGCUAAUGCUUAUAAAUAUCCUUUUUUUGGCCCAAGCCAGUUUGGACUGGGUUUGUCACUUGCAACAGAAUUUGAACGAGAGGUGUCCGGGCACGGUGGCUCAUGCCUGUCACCCCAGCACUUUGGGAGGCCGAGGUGGGAGGCAUCACCCAAGGUCAGGAGUUCGAGACCAGCCUGGCCAACACGGUGAAACCCAAUCUCUACUAAAAAUACAAAAAUUAGCCAGGCGUGGUGGCGCAUGAUGUAGUCCCAGCUACUCAGGAGGUUGAGGCAGGAGAAUCACUUGAACCUGGGAGGUGGAGGUCGCAGUGAGCCAAGAUCACACCACUACACUCCAGCCUGGGUGACAAGAACGAGACUGUCUCGAGAAAAACCUGCAACACGAGGCCCUUGGUUGCCUUCCGGGGCCCUCUUCGUUUCCUAAUAUUCAUAAGGAGACCACAUUGGCAAACACGUAUUGCUUUAUUUAGUGUUUCUCUGGAUUGCAGAAGUGUCAGCAGUGGGCUGAGACCCCCAGAAGGGCAUAGAGGCAGCUGGGCAGCCCCCAGGCCCUUGAGGGUAGGAGCAGGGAGAAGCAGCAGAAGGAGGUGAUGCCCCUGCCGCUCCUCCCAAGGCCAGCCCCGUCCCCACGCUCCCAUGCCAGGGAGGGGUCAGGGGCCAGAAAAGGCCCUACAUCCUUGAGUGGGGCCCGAGUGUGCGGGCAAGCUGUCUGUCAUCCCAAGGCCUGGACUCUGGCAGAGGCGCUUUUCCCACCUGGUGGCUCCCAGGGCCGAUUGCUGGUCAAGGAGCCAGAUAUACUCUUAAGACAUGAUGUGGGUUUUAUGGGGCUCCCUGGCUCUGGGAGUGGCAGUGAGGCACGCUGAGGAAGGGCUGCCAUCUUGGUUUUGUGGCAACCUGCCGUAUGACCGUGGGCAAGUGCCUUCUCCUGUUUGGGCAUCUGUCUUCUGCUCUGUAACAUCAAGGGGCUGGGCUGGAUGAUCUCUCAGCGUCUUCCAACCUCUAUGGUCUAAGACGGCCUUCCCCACUCCAGCACUGCCUCAAACUGGGAUGAUGAGGACAGUAAAAGGGCGUUCUUUUUUUUUUUUUUUAAGACGGAGUCUCGCUCUGUUGCCCAGGCUGGAGUGCAGUGGUGUACUCUUGGCUCACUGCAACCUCCACUUCCCGGGUUCAAGUGAUUCUCCUGCCUCAGCCUCCCGAGUAGCUGGGAUUAGAGGCGUGCACCACCAUGCCCGGCUAAUUUUGUAUUUUUACUAGAGGCGGAGUUUCUCCAUGUAGGUCAGGUUGGUCUCGAAAUCCUGACCUCAGGUUAUCUGCCCGUCUCCGCCUCCCAAAGUGCUGGGGUUACAGGCGUGAGCCACCAUGCCCAGCCUAAAAGGACAUUCUUAAGGCAGAAAGAAGGGGGCAGGCAAGGGUGGUCUCAGCCCCCAGAUGGAAGUCAGAGUGGGCUGCAAAAGAUGCAGAUGGGCAGGCAGGGAGACAGGUAAACAGACAGAAAGACAAGGUGCCAAGGGAAUCAGGAGGAGAGGUGUCCUGGCCAGGGAAGAGGGCACCAGAGCCCAGCCCACACAACCUCUCGGCUACAUUCCUUGCCCUGCUGGAGUCAGGGAAAACACAUCCACUGUGUCCUUGGGUGGGAAAUGGCUUUUUUUAAAAAAUAGUUUCCUAUAAAGCAUCAAAAAAACCUCAGAGAAAACCUCAGCAAAAGUUCCCUUCUCUCAAAUAUUUGGCAUCGGCAGUAGGGCUGGCAUGGCUCGCUCUGGCCCUGGCUUUCCUAUUGCUGUGGCCCGGCCUGGCCCACUCCUGGGGUAGCUCCUGGCCCCUGCUGCUCCCUCAAGAGAGGGAUGGGCAGGAGGUGGGAGAUUGCAGGUGGGCUUCGGGGUGUCCCUGGGUCCCUGUCUGGAAGUUCGAGUCUUUGGUAACUGGGAAGGGGAGGAGGAGAAAAGCAAAGCAUUGGGCGUUGGGAGGGUCCAGUGGGCGCCUUUAUCACCGAGAAUUCAGCCGUGGGGCGACCUGUGGGGGCGGAGAGAGACGGCCAAGUGGUGAGGGGAGCAGACGGGGGCCCCGGUACUCAGACUUUUCUUUUCGUCCUUGUUUUUUCCUUUUUAUGGAGAAUGGGGUCUCGCUAUAUUGUCCAGGCUGGUCUUGGACUCCUGGGCUCAAGCUGUCCUCCCACCUCUGCUUCCCUAAGAGUUGGGAUUACAGGCGUGAGCCGCCGCACCCAGCCCCAGCGCUCAGAUUCAUGGGUUCGAUGCAGGCAGGAGUGGUGGGGGCCUAGUGGUCUCCAUCCUGGAGACUCAGACCUGACUCCCAUAGGAAUGCCCACCGCCCUGGCCAGCGUGAGCCUGUGAGCCUGUCCUCCCUCC
rnacentral:lncRNA from 10 species